rnacentral:rRNA from 1 species
UACGUAGGGUCCGAGCGUUGUCCGGAAUUACUGGGCGUAAAGAGCUCGUAGGUGGUUUGUCGCGUUGUUCGUGAAAACUCACAGCUUAACUGUGGGCGUGCGGGCGAUACGGGCAGACUUGAGUACUGCAGGGGAGACUGGAAUUCCUGGUGUAGCGGUGGAAUGCGCAGAUAUCAGGAGGAACACCGGUGGCGAAGGCGGGUCUCUGGGCAGUAACUGACGCUGGAGGAGCGAAAGCUAGGGGAGCAAACGGG